rnacentral:rRNA from 1 species
UACGUAGGGUGCGAGCGUUGUCCGGAAUUAUUGGGCGUAAAGAGCUCGUAGGCGGUGUGUCACGUCGGCCGUGAAAACCUGCAGCUUAACUGUGGGCGUGCGGUCGAUACGGGCAUCACUGGAGUUCGGCAGGGGAGACUGGAAUUCCUGGUGUAGCGGUGGAAUGCGCAGAUAUCAGGAGGAACACCAAUAGCGAAGGCAGCUCGCUGGGACGGUACUGGACGCUAAGGCGCGAAAGCGUGGGGAGCAAACAGG